rnacentral:rRNA from 1 species
UACGGGGGGGGCAAGCGUUGUUCGGAAUUACUGGGCGUAAAGGGCUCGUAGGCGGCCAACUAAGGCGGACGUGAAAUCCCUCGGCUUAACCGGGGAACUGCGUCCGAUACUGGAUGGCUAGAGUUCGGGAGAGGGAUGCGGAAUUCCAGGUGUAGCGGUGAAAUGCGUAGAUAUCUGGAGGAACACCGGUGGCGAAGGCGGCAUCCUGGACCGAGAUUGACGCUGAGGCGCGAAAGCUAGGGGAGCAAACGGG